GAUGAACGCUGGCGGCGUGCCUAAUACAUGCCAGUCGAGCGAACGGACGAGAAGCUUGCUUCUCUGAUGUUAGCGGCGGACGGGUGAGUAACACGUGGAUAACCUACCUAUAAGACUGGGAUAACUUCGGGAAACCGUAGCUAAUACCGGAUAAUAUUUUGAACCGCAUGGUUCAAAAGUGAAAGACGGUCUUGCUGUCACUUACAGAUGGAUCCGCGCUGCAUUAGCUAGUUGGUAAGGUAACGGCUUACCAAGGCAACGAUGCAUAGCCGACCUGAGAGGGUGAUCGGCCACACUGGAACUGAGACACGGUCCAGACUCCUACGGGAGGCAGCAGUAGGGAAUCUUCCGCAAUGGGCGAAAGCCUGACGGAGCAACGCCGCGUGAGUGAUGAAGGUCUUCGGAUCGUAAAACUCUGUUAUUAGGGAAGAACAUAUGUGUAAGUAACUGUGCACAUCUUGACGGUACCUAAUCAGAAAGCCACGGCUAACUACGUG
rnacentral:rRNA from 1 species